GGAACAGCUGUACUGGGCAGUUACAGCAGUCGUAUGGUAACACAUGCGGCGUUCCGAAAUACCAUGCCUG
rnacentral:misc_RNA from 1 species